GAUGAACGCUGGCGGCGUGCCUAAUACAUGCAAGUCGAGCGAACAGACCAUGAGCUUGCUCCUCUGACGUUAGCGGCGGACGUGUGAGUCACACGUGUAUCACCUACCUAUCAUACUGGUAUAACUUCGGGAAACCGGAUCUAAUACCGGAUAAUAUAUUGCACCACAUUGUUCAAUAGUUAGAUUCGGUUUUUCUGUCACUUCUAGCUGGUUCCCCGCCGCAUUAGCUAGUUGUUAAGGUAACAGCUUUUCACGGCUACGAUGCGUAGCCGACCUGAGAGAGUGGUCGGCCACACGGGAAGUGAGACACGGUCCAGACUCCUAAGGGAGGGAGCAGUAGGGAAUCUGACGCAAUGGGGGAGAGCAUGACGGAGCAACGCCGCGUGAGUGAUGAAGGUCUUCGGAUCGUAAAAAUGUGUUAUGAGGGAAGAACAAAUGUGUAAGUAACUGUGCAGGUAGUGACGGUACCGAGUAAGAAAGCAACGGCUAACUACGUG
rnacentral:rRNA from 1 species